rnacentral:rRNA from 1 species
GAGUUUGAUCGUGGCUCAGAUUGAACGCUGGCGGCAGGCCUAACACAUGCAAGUCGAGCGGAUGAAGGGAGCUUGCUCCUGGAUUCAGCGGCGGACGGGUGAGUAAUGCCUAGGAAUCUGCCUGGGUAGUGGGGGAUAACGUCCGGAAGCGGGCGCUAAUACCGCAUACGUCCUGAGGGAGAAAGUGGGGGAUCUUCGGACCUCACGCUAUCAGAUGAGCCUAGGUCGGAUUAGCUAGUUGGUGGGUAAAGGCCUACCAAGGCGACGAUCCGUAACUGGUCUGAGAGGAUGAUCAGUCACACUGGAACUGAGACACGGUCCAGACUCCUACGGGAGGCAGCAGUGGGAAUAUUGGACAAUGGGCGAAAGCCUGAUCCAGCCAUGCCGCGUGUGUGAAGAAGGUCUUCGGAUUGUAAAGCACUUUAAGUUGGGAGGAAGGGCAGUAAGUUAAUACCUUGCUGUUUGACGUUACCAACAGAAUAAGCACGGCUAACUUCGUGCCAGCCGCCGCGGU